rnacentral:rRNA from 1 species
UACAGAGGGGGCAAGCGUUAUUCGGAAUUAUUGGGCGUAAAGGGCGCGUAGGCGGCCUGGCAAGUGGAAGGUGAAAUCCCUCGGCUUAACCGAGGAACUGCCCUCCAAACUGCUUGGCUUGAGUCCGGGAGAGGUGAGUGGAAUUCCCGAGUGUAGCGGUGAAAUGCGUAGAUAUUGGGAGGAACACCAGUGGCGAAGGCGGCUCACUGGACCGGAACUGACGCCUGAGGCGCGAAAGCGUGGGGAGCAAACAGG